rnacentral:rRNA from 1 species
UACGGGGGGGGGCAAGCGUUGUUCGGAAUUACUGGGCGUAAAGGGCUCGUAGGUGGCCAACUAAGUCUGACGUGAAAUCCCUCGGCUUAACCGGGGAACUGCGUCCGAUACUGGUUGGCUUGAGUUUGGGAGAGGGAUGCGGAAUUCCAGGUGUAGCGGUGAAAUGCGUAGAUAUCUGGAGGAACACCGGUGGCGAAGGCGGCAUCCUGGACCAAUACUGACGCUGAGGAGCGAAAGCCAGGGGAGCAAACGGG